GCAUUGCUGAAGAGUCCCACAAUACGACGAAACGGCUGUCCAGUGU
rnacentral:hammerhead_ribozyme from 1 species